rnacentral:rRNA from 1 species
CCCGCACAAGCGGAGGAACAUGUGGUUUAAUUCGAUGAUACGCGAGGAACCUUACCUGGGCUUAAAUGGGGAGUGACAGCUGUCGAAAGAUGGUUUUCUUCGGACACUCUUCAAGGUGCUGCAUGGUUGUCGUCAGCUCGUGCCGUGAGGUGUCGGGUUAAGUCCCAUAACGAGCGCAACCCUUACCGUUAGUUACCAUCAGGUUAAGCUGGGGACUCUAGCGGGACUGCCACCGUAAGGUGAGAGGAAGUGGGGAUGACGUCAAAUCAGCACGGCCCUUAUGUCCAGGGCAACACACGUGUUACAAUGGCCAGUACAAAGGGCAGCUACCGGGUGACCGGAUGCUAAUCUCUAAAGCUGGUCUCAGUUCGGAUCGAAGUCUGCAACCCGACUUCGUGAAGCUGGAUUCGCUAGUAAUCGCGCAUCAGCCAUGGCGCGGUGAAUACGUUCCCGGGCCUU